rnacentral:rRNA from 1 species
CCUACGGGAGGCAGCAGUAGGGAAUUUUCGUCAAUGGGCGCAAGCCUGAACGAGCAAUGCCGCGUGAACGAGGAAGGUCUUCGGAUCGUAAAGUUCUGUUGAAGGGGAAAAAGAGCGGAGAGAGGAAAUGGUCUCCGAUUGAUAUUACCCUUCGAGGAAGUCACGGCUAACUACGUGCCAGCAGCCGCGGUAAUACGUAGGUGGCGAGCGUUAUCCGGAAUGAUUGGGCGUAAAGGGUGCGUAGGCGGCAUGCUAAGUCUGGAGUAAAAGGGACCGGCUCAACCGGGACAGGCACUGGAUACUGGCGGGCUAGAGAGCAGGAGAGGGAGGUGGAACUCGAUGUGUAGCGGUAAAAUGCGUAGAUAUAUGGAAGAACACCAGUGGCGAAGGCGGCCGCCUGGCCUGUUACUGACGCUGAGGCACGAAAGCGUGGGGAGCAAAUAGGAUUAGAUACCCUGGUAGUC